GUCUAGGAGUAGGACUGCCUGGUCAUCUGAUUCUGCUAUUGAAAGACAGUUGAAAGACAAUUGAGUGUAGUAAUCUCAACGAUCCUAUCUGUCUCCAAUAUGCCAUAAAAUAUCCAGUCACUGAAAGAAAAUACUAAAAGCUUUGUUUCUGUCCCAAGAUGUCUGUGUCAUAUCCUGAGAAAGAAUUUGGGUCUUUUUGAAGAGGAACUCGAACCUGAGAAUGGUCUACAGUCUGACACACAGAGAAUGA